UUCCUCUCUCAAAGGAAAGAAGGAACGAGAUACCACCUAAGACCUACCUCAAGUAAAUUGGAAAGCAACGAGCUACUUAAAAUUUUGCUGUGGGCAUUUUGCUUUCUGAUUUUAAAAAUUCUGAGAGCAAGAACCCAACUAUUUCCUGGAAACAAACAAUCCACUUGUCAAAACAACUAGGUAGAUACCUGAACUGAAAAACAUAUGAAAUCUUCCCCAGAUAUCUACGUCAAUCGCUAGUGUCAUAAGCUUAGACGUAAUUAUUCUCUUCUUUAUAUAUACCUUUCAUUUAACAAUUAACAGCUUUGAUAAAAAGGCACGUCUGGUGGGUAGCUCAAUCGAGUUUUAAUUAAUUUCCAUGGAUGAGUAGCACGAUUCGUGGAACUCUCUGUCUUUUCUACACCAUAACUCUCUAUCUCUGAGCAUUUUAAGCUCCCAGGCACCCUUCAUCUCCUGUUCUCCUUCAAACUGACUGAGCAGGGAAAAUUCCAAUAAUUGGUUUUGGUCGAUGGGAAGAUACGAGAAAAAUGAAGAGUGUAAGACUGAUGAUCAUCAAGAACCUAUGAAGAUUGUGGAGGCGUGCAUAGCUUGUUUGUGGUCAGUUUUGGUGAGCCUUUCAGGGGGGCUAAUACUGGGUUACUGGGAGUAUCAGUAUCACCUUACAAAUAGUCAGCAAUGGAUGGUGCCCUUAGGUCUUAUUCUGCUUGUUACGCCGGUGAUCGUUUCAUUGGCUCUUUUCUUCUCAGAAAUCAGUAAUUCGGAAGACAAGAACUCCAAAAGGAGUCAACAACCCGUCGUUUUAUUUGAUGAUUCAGAGAAAUACCUGAAAGAAAAUCCAGUGUAAUUGAUUUGAAUUCCUGAACCUUCGUCGUUGUUAAGCUGUUGCUAGGUCACAUCACUCGCUCUUAUUAGGGUUUGCUUGCGAUGAUGAUGCAUUGCUCUUCUUGUAUAAAACAUAAAUUUUAAGCUCAAAAUUAAAUUGGUUUGAUUGGA